UGGGGAAGUAUUGCACAAUGGGGAACCGAGCAUGCAGCCAUGCCGCGUGUAUGAAGAAGGCCUUAGGGUUGUAAAGUACUUUCGGUGAUGAGGAAGGUACUUGGUCUAAUAGGCCAAGUAAUUGACGUUAAUUACAGAAGAAGCACCGGCUAACUCCGUGCCAGCAGCCGCGGUAAUACGGAGGGUGCGAGCGUUAAUCGGAAUGACUGGGCGUAAAGGGCAUGUAGGCGGAUGAUUAAGUUAGGUGUGAAAAUCCCCGACGCUCAACUUGGGAAUUGCAUUUAAAACUGGUCGUCUAGAGUAUUGUAGAGGAAGGUAGAAUUCCACGUGUAGCGGUGAAAUGCGUUAGAGAUGUGGAGGAAUACCGGUGGCGAAGGCGGCCUUCCGGACAGAUACUGACGCUGAGAUGCGAAAGCGUGGGAGCAAACA
rnacentral:rRNA from 1 species